UACGUAGGGGGCUAGCGUUGUCCGGAAUCAUUGGGCGUAAAGAGCGUGUAGGCGGCUUGGUAAGUCCGCUGUGAAAGUCCAGGGCUCAACCCUGGAAUGCCAGUGGAUACUGUCAAGCUAGAGUCCGGAAGAGGCGAGUGGAAUUCCUGGUGUAGCGGUGAAAUGCGCAGAUAUCAGGAGGAACACCAAUGGCGAAGGCAGCUCGCUGGGACGGUUCUGACGCUGAGACGCGAAAGCGUGGGGAGCAAACAGG
rnacentral:rRNA from 1 species